CACGUGAUAUAUGCAUGUGUAUAUAAUCGAUUGCGACGGAAAAUUACAGUAACAAUUAUUGAGGUAACAAUGAGUACCUGCGUUUUUUGCAAAACAAAGCAAUCAAAAUAUCGUGGGCGAUCAUUUCACAAAUUUCCCGUGAAAGAUGUGUUGCGCGUUUAGCAUUGGUUAGAAGAAAUGAAGAGGAAGGACUGGAAGCCAAACCGAAAUAGCACAUUGUGUUCAGCUCAUUUUACAAAUGAUUGCUUUGAUAGGACAGGAUUCCUAAUUACAUUGAAAAAGAACAGUGUACCAACUAUAUUUGACAACCCAAAAUCAGAGUGUUCAUCUUGUCACCGAUUAAAGGAAUAUGGACGUGGCUAUUCAUUCUUCAAGUUCCCAUUGGAUGAACCUGAUAUUAUGAAGCAAUGGAUCGCAAAUAUAAACAUUGGACCGUGGUCUCCAUCAAGUGAUAGCUUUCUGUGUUCCGACCACUUUGAACUCUCUUGCUUUCAGAAGAAAAGUAAAAAUUAUAUAACUUUACGAAAAGGCAGUAUCCCAACGUUAUUUGGUGAAAACUUGCAGCAGACCGAAUUUCAGGAUGAAUCCGAUGGGCCCACCACAGUGAAUGUAACCAAAUUACAUGAUCACCUACACAUUUGUACCUGAUUUGCAUGCUCAGCUCCACUUUGAUGAUCAAUGGAUGGUAAAUGGAUUCCCUAACGGUUGAAUUAGUGUUAUACAAAUUUUUGAAUAAUCCGUAUGGAAUUCAGCCCACCAUAGGAUAGAGGAUAAUGGACGGAAACUUCUUAGAAUUGAGGACUUCUUUUGAACAUGAAGAAAAAUCACGCUUAAAUACAAGUUUUUCGUCAUAUUAUUUAAUGAUCUUUUACAUCAUAUAAUUGUAAAUAAUAACAUACCUUCGAAAAAAUGAUUUGUUCUUCAUUUAAUGUAUCAAACAUUAUUUUACUCGUCAAAAACUUUUUUGUGUGACGAAUAUAUCGUUAGACCUAAAUAGCAUAUAUUACGCAGUUCAAAUCUAGCGCGCAUUUUGUGACAACUUUCUGUACAAGAUGGCGGAAAUUAAAUUGUUCAAUUGGACGCACGAGCUUACACGUAGAGUAUACGGUAAUAUCCAAUCCAGUGUAUAUAUAUA
rnacentral:misc_RNA from 1 species